GACGAACGCUGGCGGCGUGCUUAACACAUGCAAGUCGAACGGAAAGGCCCUGCUUUUGUGGGGUGCUCGAGUGGCGAACGGGUGAGUAACACGUGAGUAACCUGCCCUUGACUUUGGGAUAACUUCAGGAAACUGGGGCUAAUACCGGAUAGGAGCUCCUGCUGCAUGUUGGGGGUUGGAAAGUUUCGGCGGUUGGGGAUGGACUCGCGUCUUAUCAGCUUGUUGGUUGGGUUGUGGCUUACCAAGGCUUUGACGGGUAGCCGGCCUGAGAGGGUGACCGGCGAGAUUGGGACUGAGAUACGGCCCAGACUCCUACGGGAGGCAGCAGUGGGGAAUAUUGCACAAUGGGCGGAAGCCUGAUGAAGCAACGCCGCGUGCGGGAUGACGGCCUUCGGGUUGUAAACCGCUUUCGCCUGUGACGAAGCGUGAGUGACGGUAAUGGGUAAAGAAGCACCGGCUAACUACGUG
rnacentral:rRNA from 1 species